rnacentral:rRNA from 1 species
AUAUGAAGGCUGUACGCGGCUGUGCUCUCGGGCCAGUUUUGCGGAGGCUGAAUUAUUUAUUACCCUUGUCUUUUGCGCACUUGUUGUUUCCUGGGCGGGUUCGCCCGCCACCAGGACCACAUCAUAAACCUUUUUUAUGCAGUUGCAAUCAGCGUCAGUAUAACAAAUGUAAAUCAUUUACAACUUUCAACAACGGAUCUCUUGGUUCUGGCAUCGAUGAAGAACGCAGCGAAAUGCGAUACGUAGUGUGAAUUGCAGAAUUCAGUGAAUCAUCGAAUCUUUGAACGCACAUUGCGCCCUUUGGUAUUCCAAAGGGCAUGCCUGUUCGAGCGUCAUUUGUACCCUCAAGCUUUGCUUGGUGUUGGGCGUUUUUUGUCUUUGGUUGCCAAAGACUCGCCUUAAAAGGAUUGGCAGCCGGCCUACUGGUUUCGCAGCGCAGCACAUUUUUGCGCUUGCAAUCAGCAAAAGAGGACGGCAAUCCAUCAAGACUCCUUCUCACGUUUGACCUCGGAUCAGGUAGGGAUACCCGCUGAACUUAAGCAUAUCAAAAGGCCGAAGGAA